rnacentral:misc_RNA from 1 species
UGGUUCUGGCAUCGAUGAAGAACGCAGCGAAAUGCGAUAAGUAAUGUGAAUUGCAGAAUUCAGUGAAUCAUCGAAUCUUUGAACGCACAUUGCGCCCAUUAGUAUUCUAGUGGGCAUGCCUGUUCGAGCGUCAUUUCAACCCUUAAGCCCUGUUGCUUAGCGUUGGGAGCCUACAGAUACCCUCUGUAGUUCCUUAAAGUUAGUGGCGGAGUCGGUUUCACACUCUAGACGUAGUAAAUUUUAUCUCGCCUAUAGAUGAGCCGGUCCCUUGCCGUAAAAACCCCUAAUUUCUAAAGGUUGACCUCGGAUCAGGUAGGAAUACCCGCUGA